rnacentral:tRNA from 2 species
GGUUUUAUAGUCAAUAAAUGAUAUUGGUUUGCAAUACCAAAGUAGUACUUAGAGUAUUAAAACCU